UCCGAAACCCAAAAAACGGAAAAAAAAAAAAAAAAAAAAAAAAAAAAAAAAAAAAAAAAGAAGAAAGAAAGAAGAAAAAGAGAAUUUAAUUGUCGUAGAAUUCCCUCUCUUAAUCGUUUUGGCUAUCAUCACGAGAAUCCUCCAAAAGCAAAGAGAAAAAACCUACACAUCUGAAGAACACAGUUUUCUUUUCCUUGCUCGAAAAAUAGCUUGCUUAGGAAGAGUUAGUUCCUGCUUUUUAAUCUUUUACAAUUUAGGGAGUUCAAGAGAGCGACUGUGUUGGAAAUUAUCUUCAUUACCGUGCCUUUGUCUGCAAGUAACGUGAAUUUACUCGGAAAAUUCUUUUCGGUGGUGAUCUGUUGGAGAGGAAUUCUUUUUGGAGAUAAUCGAAGUUCGAAAGCAUGAUUCGUUCGUGAAAAUAAAGAAAAAUAAAAUAAAAUAAAAUAAAAGAGAAAAAGGUUUUUGUUUUGUUUGGAGCAAGAGAUGAAGCGGUCUAGAGAUGAGGUUUACAUCGGCGGCUCUCAACUUAAAAGACCGGUGGUUACUUCUCGAGGAGAAGGCUCUGGGCAACCACAGAUGGUGGGAGGGGUGGGAAGUACGCAGAAACUGACAACAAAUGAUGCGUUAGCAUAUCUCAAAGCUGUCAAAGACAUAUUUCAAGAUAAAAGGGAGAAAUAUGAUGACUUUCUUGAAGUAAUGAAAGACUUCAAGGCUCAAAGAAUUGACACUGCAGGUGUCAUAGCAAGGGUGAAGGAAUUAUUUAAAGGGUAUCGAGACCUAAUUUUGGGUUUCAAUACCUUUUUGCCUAAGGGAUAUGAGAUCACACUCCCACAAGAGGAUGAACCUACCCAAAAGAAGCCAGUGGAGUUUGAAGAAGCUAUUAAUUUUGUGAACAAGAUUAAGACAAGGUUUCAAGGUGAUGACCAUGUCUAUAAGUCAUUUUUAGACAUUUUGAACAUGUAUAGGAAAGAAAACAAGUCUAUCACUGAGGUCUACCAGGAGGUUGCUACUCUUUUCCAAGACCAUCCAGAUCUGCUUUCGGAGUUCACUCAUUUUCUGCCCGAUACCUCGGCAACAGCAUCUAAUCAUUAUGCUUCCUCUGGCAGAAACAUACCCCGAGACAGGAUCUCUGCUAUGCCUACAAUGCGUGCAGUGCAUGCUGACAAGAAAGAUAGGACUACAGCUUCACAUGCUGACCGUGACCUCAGUGUGGAACACCCUGAUCCAGAUCACAAUAGAGCUAUGAUGAAAGUAGAAAAAGAGCAACGGAGACGUGGCGAAAAGGAAAGGGACAAGAGAGAAGACAGAGAUAGGAGAGACCGAGAACAGGAUGAUCGAGACUUUGAAAAUGAUGGCAACAGAGACUUCAACAUGCGGUUUCCGCAUAAACGGAGUGCAAAACCUGUUCGUAAGGGUGAAGACUCAGGUGUUGAACAAUUGCAGCAAGGUGGGGAUGGCGCCACAUAUGAUGAUAAAAAUGCAAUGAAAAGUGUGUAUUAUCAGGAGUUUGCUUUCUGCGAAAAAGUGAAGGAGAAGUUACGAAAUCCUGAACAUUGGCAGGAAUUUUUGAGGUGCCUUCAUCUCUAUAGCAAUGAAGUAAUCUCGCGCACAGAAUUGCAAUCAUUGGUCAAUGAUUUGCUUGAAAGAUACCCAGAUCUGAUGGAUGGAUUCAAUGAGUUGUUGGUGCGAUGUGAGAAGAAUGAGGGAUUGCUUGCUGAUUUUGUUAGUCAAAAGUUAUUGCGGAAUGAAGGCCAGUUACCUAGAUCAGUUAAGAUGGAGGACAGGGAUAGAGAUCAGGAUCGUGAAAGGGUUGAUGGGGCCAAAGAUAGAGACCGUGAAACCCGAGAAAGGGAUAGACUUGAUAAAAGUUCCUUUGGCAAUAAAGAUGCAGGAAGUCAUAAGGUUUCUUUAUUUUCCAGCAAGGAUAAGUACAUGGGAAAACCCAUUAAUGAACUUGACCUCUCUAACUGUGAACGCUGCACUCCUAGUUAUCGACUGCUCCCAAAGAAUUAUCCAAUACCUUCUGCAAGCCAGAGAACAGAGCUUGGUUCUGAAGUUCUCAAUGAUCAUUGGGUUUCUGUCACUUCAGGGAGUGAGGACUACUCUUUCAAACACAUGCGCAAAAACCAGUAUGAAGAAAGCCUAUUUCGAUGCGAAGAUGACAGGUUUGAGCUGGAUAUGUUGUUAGAGUCUGUGAAUGUAACAACCAAGCGAGUGGAAGAACUAUUAGAAAAGAUUAACAAUAAUACUAUCAAACUAGACAGUCCAAUUCGUAUUGAGGAGCACUUCACAGCUCUGAAUCUUAGGUGCAUUGAACGUUUGUACGGUGACCAUGGACUUGAUGUGAUGGAUGUAUUAAGGAAGAAUGCCCAUCUUGCUUUGCCAGUUAUUUUAACCCGCUUGAAGCAGAAACAAGAAGAAUGGGCAAGAUGUCGUUCUGAUUUUAAUAAAGUUUGGGCUGAAAUUUAUGCUAAGAAUUAUCAUAAAUCGCUUGAUCACCGUAGCUUCUAUUUUAAGCAGCAGGAUUCGAAGAACUUAGGCACAAAAGCUUUAUUGGCUGAGAUCAAAGAAAUCAGUGAGAAGAAGCGCAAAGAAGAUGAUGUGCUUCUUGCUAUUGCUGCUGGAAACAGACGACCUAUUAUUCCAAAUUUGGAGUUUGAAUACCCUGAUCCUGAAAUUCAUGAAGAUCUAUAUCAGCUCAUAAAAUAUUCCUGUGGAGAAAUGUGUACAACUGAACAGUUGGAUAAAAUAAUGAAAAUAUGGACCACCUUCUUGGAACCCAUGCUUGGCGUUCCUUCCCGUCCUCAUGGAGCUGAGGACACUGAAGAUGUUGUGAAGGCUAAGAACAACAAUGUCAAAAAUGGUAGUGCUAUUGUUGGUGAGAGUGAAGGGAGCCCUGGCGGAGGUGCUGUUGCCAUGAAUUCCAAACAUACAAAUCCUUCCAGAAAUGGUGAUGAAAGUAUUCCACCUGAGCAAUCAAGUUCUUGUAGGUCUUGGUUGCUGAAUGGAGAUAAUGGCAUCAAGCAAGAUGGUUCUGCUAAUACGGAUCAUGUUGAUCACAAGAAUGAUUCCUCCUGUGAUGCUCCUCAUCAAGAUAGAGUGCAGCAGGUUAAUCCAGCUAAUGGUGAUGAAAUAUCAGGGGUCAGCAAGCAAGCCAGUUCUAGUGAACGAUUGGUCAAUCCAAAUGCAUCUCUUGUUGCUGGAGUAGAGCAAAGCAAUGGAAGAACUAGCAUAGAGAAUACUUCAGGUCUUAGUGCUAAUCCAUCCAGACCUGGUAAUGCUGCCAUUGAGGGUGGACUUGAGUUGAAGUCAAGUAAUGAAAAUUUACCUUCAUCAGAGGGUGGCGAUUGUUCUAGACCAAUCUCAUCCGGAAAUGGGAUGGUGACUGAAGGCAUUAAAAGUCACAGAUAUAACGAAGAAUCAGCUGGGCAACUUAAAGUUGAAAGGGAAGAAGGUGAGUUAUCCCCAAAUGGGGAUUUUGAGGAAGACAAUUUUGCUGAUUAUGGAGAAGCUGGUCUGGGGACUGCCCAUAAGGUGAAAGAUGGUGCAGCAAACAGACAAUACCAGAGACAUGGAGAGGAAGAAGUGUGCUGUGGAGAGGCUGGGGGAGAGAAUGAUGCUGAUGCUGAUGAUGAAGGUGAGGAAAGUGCUCAGAGGACAUCAGAGGAUAGUGAGAAUGCUUCUGAGAAUGGUGAGGUUUCGGGAAGUGAUUCUGGUGAAGGCGACUCGAGGGAGGAGCAAGAGGAAGACAUAGACCAUGACGAACAUGAUAAUAAAGCAGAGAGUGAAGGCGAGGCUGAAGGGAUGGCUGAUGCUCAUGAUGUGGAAGGAGAUGGAACAUUAUUACCAUUUUCAGAACGUUUUCUACUAACUGUAAAGCCCCUUGCAAAGCAUGUCCCUUCAGCAUUACAUGAGAAAGAGAAGGGGUCACGGGUUUUUUAUGGAAAUGACUCAUUUUAUGUGCUUUUUAGGCUUCACCAAACAUUGUACGAGAGAAUACAAUCAGCAAAGAUUAAUUCAUCAUCUGCAGAUAGGAAAUGGAGGGCUUCAAGUGAUCCAAGUCCUACUGAUCUCUAUGCCCGGUUCAUGAGUGCACUUUACAAUUUACUUGAUGGCUCUUCUGAUAAUACAAAAUUUGAGGAUGAUUGCCGAGCUAUAAUUGGAACUCAGUCAUAUGUUCUGUUCACGCUGGAUAAGUUGAUAUAUAAACUUGUCAAACAGCUUCAAACCGUUGCAAGUGAUGAAAUGGACAAUAAGCUUCUUCAGCUCUAUGCCUAUGAGAAAUCAAGAAAAUCUGGAAGAUUUGUUGACGUUGUUUAUCAUGAAAAUGCCCGAGUUCUCCUUCAUGAUGAGAAUAUAUAUCGUAUUGAAUGUUCAUCCACACCAACUCGUCUUUCCAUUCAGCUUAUGGACUAUGGGCAUGAUAAGCCUGAAGUGACAGCUGUUUCCAUGGACCCUAAUUUUGCAGCAUAUUUGCACAAUGACUUUCUCUCGGUUGUUCCUGAGGAAAAAGAGAAGCCUGGGAUUUUCUUGAAGAGGAAUAUACGCAAAUGUGUAGGUGGUGAUGAGCUUUCUUCAACAUCCCAGGUGACGGAAGGACUUAAAAUAGUUAAUGGUUUGGAGUGUAAGAUUGCUUGCAGUUCUUCCAAGGUUUCGUAUGUUUUAGAUACGGAAGAUUUUUUGUUUCGGAUGAGACGGCAGCCGGCCUCACAUCAAAACAGUUCAUGCCAUAACCGGGCAAAGGUUUCAAAUGGUGGUUCAAUUAAGCUACAACGGCAACAGCGAUUUCAGAGAUUGCUACUGGCGUAUACUUUAAUGGCUUAAGUAGAUAAGAUUUUCUUUGUUUUUCAGUUGGAUAUGGGCAUGCAUUACAUACACGGGGCGCUGAGGAUGAAAGAGUUGACAGUGCCACAAGUGGAAAACCUUUUUGAAACCAUCUACAAUGUACCAUCAUAUAAUUUCUAUCACUCACCAACCAAAUAAGAAGGUAUUGAGGAAAAAGGGAUGAGGCUCAAUCAAAAGAUUGUAGUUAUAUCUUGUAAGUUGGUGGUAUUUGAGCCACUGUCGUGUACAUAAGAGAGAAUGACUAAAUGAAAACAAAAACGGGAGCUUCAUGUUUCAAUUUCACCAUCCUAACGGACCAAAAAGCCAACAGAAGAAAGGCAAAGGUACGAGUGCUCCUGGCUGGAUCCAUAUGACUCCCACAUAUCCAUUGGCAGAAG